GGAAAGAACACCUGGGAGCCAGAGACACAAGAAAAGUUUAUCCCUAACCACAGGGGAACAUUUGACUCACGAUGCACCUGCCUCUUUGACAACAGCUGGAGGAUGUUAUAUAUUGGUCAAAAUUCAUGGACUGUAUACAAAAAGAAGAAUUUUACUAUGAGUUAUUCCUAUCUAAAGGGACAGGAAAAGGACAUCUUUGGGGGAAUAUUGCUGUUACAAUUGGGUAUGAGUAACUCAGGUCCACCUUCCCUUUACGAUUCGUCUACACAUAAUGUAUGUACUGUUCUGAUCCUUCAUGUCAU